AUACGGAGGGUGCAAGCGUUAAUCGGAAUUACUGGGCGUGAAGCGUACGUAGGCGGUUCGUUAAGUUAGAUGUGAAAGCCCCGGGCUUAACCUGGGAACUGCAUUUAAAACUGGCGAACUAGAGUUGAGUAGAGGGGAGUGGAAUUUCAGGUGUAGCGGUGAAAUGCGUAGAGAUCUGAAGGAACACCAGUGGCGAAGGCGACUCCCUGGACUCGAACUGACGCUGAGGUACGAAAGCGUGGGUAGCAAACGGGAUUAGAAACCCUAGUAGUCC
rnacentral:rRNA from 1 species